rnacentral:rRNA from 1 species
UACGUAGGUGGCAAGCGUUGUCCGGAUUUACUGGGCGUAAAGAGCGCGCAGGCGGCCGAUUAAGUCGAAUGUGAAAGCCCCCGGCUCAACUGGGGAGGGUCAUUCGAUACUGGUCGGCUCGAAGGCAGGAGAGGGAAGCGGAAUUCCCGGUGUAGUGGUGAAAUGCGUAGAUAUCGGAGGAACACCGGUGGCGAAGGCGG